rnacentral:rRNA from 1 species
GUGGGGAAUCUUGCGCAAUGGGCGAAAGCCUGACGCAGCCAUGCCGCGUGGAUGAUGAAGGUCUUAGGAUUGUAAAAUCCUUUCACCGGUGAAGAUAAUGACUGUAGCCGGAGAAGAAGCCCCGGCUAACUUCGUGCCAGCAGCCGCGGUAAUACGAAGGGGGCUAGCGUUGCUCGGAUUUACUGGGCGUAAAGGGCGCGUAGGCGGACAUUUAAGGCAGGGGUGAAAUCCCGGGGCUCAACCUCGGAACUGCCUUUGAUACUGGGUGUCUUGAGUAUGAGAGAGGUGUGUGGAACUCCGAGUGUAGAGGUGAAAUUCGUAGAUAUUCGGAAGAACACCAGUGGCGAAGGCGACACACUGGCUCAUUACUGACGCUGAGGCGCGAAAGCGUGGGGAGCAAACAGGAUUAGAAACCCCAGUAGUCC